CCUACGGGUGGCUGCAGUGGGGAAUAUUGCACAAUGGGCGCAAGCCUGAUGCAGCCAUGCCGUGUGUGUGAAGAAGGCCUUCGGGUUGUAAAGCACUUUCAGCGGGGAGGAAGGCGGUGAGGUUAAUAACCUCAUCGAUUGACGUUACCCGCAGAAGAAGCACCGGCUAACUCCGUGCCAGCAGCCGCGGUAAUACGGAGGGUGCAAGCGUUAAUCGGAAUUACUGGGCGUAAAGCGCACGCAGGCGGUCUGUCAAGUCGGAUGUGAAAUCCCCGGGCUCAACCUGGGAACUGCAUUCGAAACUGGCAGGCUAGAGUCUUGUAGAGGGGGGUAGAAUUCCAGGUGUAGCGGUGAAAUGCGUAGAGAUCUGGAGGAAUACCGGUGGCGAAGGCGGCCCCCUGGACAAAGACUGACGCUCAGGUGCGAAAGCGUGGGGAGCAAACAGGAUUAGAUACCCCGGUAGUC
rnacentral:rRNA from 1 species